AGGCCGGCCGGGCCUACAAAUGCAAGUCGAGCGGUAGCACAGAGAGCUUGCUCUCGGGUGACGAGCGGCGGACGGGUGAGUAAUGUCUGGGAAACUGCCUGAUGGAGGGGGAUAACUACUGGAAACGGUAGCUAAUACCGCAUAAUGUCGCAAGACCAAAGUGGGGGACCUUCGGGCCUCAUGCCAUCAGAUGUGCCCAGAUGGGAUUAGCUAGUAGGUGGGGUAACGGCUCACCUAGGCGACGAUCCCUAGCUGGUCUGAGAGGAUGACCAGCCACACUGGAACUGAGACACGGUCCAGACUCCUACGGGAGGCAGCAGUGGGGAAUAUUGCACAAUGGGCGCAAGCCUGAUGCAGCCAUGCCGCGUGUGUGAAGAAGGCCUUCGGGUUGUAAAGCACUUUCAGCGGGGAGGAAGGCGUUAAGGUUAAUAACCUUGGCGAUUGACGUUACCCGCAGAAGAAGCACCGGCUAACUCCGUGCCAGCAGCCGCGGUAAUACGGAGGGUGCAAGCGUUAAUCGGAAUUACUGGGCGUAAAGCGCACGCAGGCGGUCUGUCAAGUCGGAUGUGAAAUCCCCGGGCUCAACCUGGGAACUGCAUUCGAAACUGGCAGGCUAGAGUCUUGUAGAGGGGGGUAGAAUUCCAGGUGUAGCGGUGAAAUGCGUAGAGAUCUGGAGGAAUACCGGUGGCGAAGGCGGCCCCCUGGACAAAGACUGACGCUCAGGUGCGAAAGCGUGGGGAGCAAACAGGAUUAGAUACCCUGGUAGUCCACGCCGUAAACGAUGUCGAUUUGGAGGUUGUGCCCUUGAGGCGUGGCUUCCGGAGCUAACGCGUUAAAUCGACCGCCUGGGGAGUACGGCCGCAAGGUUAAAACUCAAUGAAUUGACGGGGGGCCCGCACAAGCGGUGGAGCAUGUGGUUUAAUUCGAUGCAACGCGAAGAACCUUACCUGGUCUUGACAUCCACAGAACUUUCCAGAGAUGGAUUGGUGCCUUCGGGAACUGUGAGACAGGGUGCUGCAUGGCUGUCGUCAGCUCGUGCUUGUCGAAAUGUUGGAGUUAGUCCCGCAACGAGGCGCAACCUUAUCAUGUUGCCAGCGGUUCCGGCCGGGGCAACUCAACGGAGACCUGACAGUGA
rnacentral:rRNA from 1 species